rnacentral:lncRNA from 1 species
GGGAAGUUUGUCAAUCAUUUACUGCCAGUUAGCACGUUAUUGAAAGACUGCAGUCUUCCCAGAUGUGAAGGCUCCUCAGGUGCACCAGGUCCACAUCUGUGCUUUGAGCGACCAUGGAUGUUCUUCACUGCAAACAGGACCAUGGAAAGGAUCCAUCACUCCUGAGAUCUACAGACCUUCAGUCGAUCAUAUUAUCUCCUAUGUUUAUUUAAAACUAUAAAUGCCACCCU